ACGCUCGACACCUACGUGAGGCAGCAGUGGGGAAUAUUGCACAAUGGGGGAAACCCUGAUGCAGCGACGCCGCGUGAGUGAAGAAGUAUUUCGGUAUGUAAAGCUCUAUCAGCAGGGAAGAAGAUGACGGUACCUGAGUAAGAAGCUCCGGCUAACUACGUGCCAGGAGCCGCGGUAAUCUGAGCGGGCUGGCAAGGC
rnacentral:rRNA from 1 species